UACGUAGGGUGCAAGCGUUGCCCGGAUUUAUUGGGCGUAAAGGGCGCGUAGGCGGCUCUGCACGUCCGUUGUGAAAUCGCCCGGCUCAACUGGGCGGGGUCAGCGGAUACGGCGGAGCUUGAGCAAGCUAGGGGGCAAUGGAAUUCCCGGUGUAGUGGUGGAAUGCGUAGAUAUCGGGAAGAACAUCGGUGGCGAAGGCGCUCUACUGGACCACAACUGACACUCAGGGACGAAAGCUAGGGGAGCGAAUGGG
rnacentral:rRNA from 1 species